CGCGUAGGGACCAAGCGUUGUCCGGAUUUAUUGGGCGUAAAGAGCUCGUAGGCGGUUCCGUAAGUCGGAUGUGAAAACUCAGGGCUCAACCCUGAGACGCCAUCUGAUACUGCGGUGACUAGAGUCCGGUAGGGGAGCAUGGAAUUCCUGGUGUAGCGGUGGAAUGCGCAGAUAGCAGGAGGAACACCAAUGGCGAAGGCAGAUCUCGGGGCCGUAACUGACGCUGAGGAGCGAAAGCAUGGGGAGCGAACAGG
rnacentral:rRNA from 1 species